rnacentral:rRNA from 1 species
GACGAACGCUGGCGGCGUGCUUAACACAUGCAAGUCGAACGGAAAGGCCCUGCUUUUGUGGGGUGCUCGAGUGGCGAACGGGUGAGUAACACGUGAGUAACCUGCCCUUGACUUUGGGAUAACUUCAGGAAACUGGGGCUAAUACCGGAUAGGAGCUCCUGCUGGAUGGUGGGGGUUGGAAAGUUUCGGCGGUUGGGGAUGGACUCGCGGCUUAUCAGCUUGUUGGUGGGGUAGUGGCUUACCAAGGCUUUGACGGGUAGCCGGCCUGAGAGGGUGACCGGCCACAUUGGGACUGAGAGACGGCCCAGACUCCUACGGGAGGCAGCAGGGGGGAAUAUUGCACAAUGGGCGGAAGCCUGAUGCAGCAACGCCGCGUGCGGGAUGACGGCCUUCGGGGUGUAAACCGCUUUCGCCUGUGACGAAGCGUGAGUGACGGUAAUGGGUAAAGAAGCACCGGCUAACUACGUG